UCAUUGCUGAGUCGAAUUUGCAUGGAUC
rnacentral:sRNA from 1 species